UAAAAAGGUGAGGACCAACCAAAGUUGCGCAUGUCACUUUACUUCUCCUAAAGGUUGACACCGUGGCGCCAGCUGUUAACGCGCUCGGGCGCACGUCUCGGCGGAUCACCGUGACUCUGCGAUCGGUUUUUGUGACUUUUUCCCUUUUGUCCGUAUUUGCUUCACGUUGAGCCUCACGUACAAUACCUGAAGAUGAAGUUUUGUUCGUUCGGCUCGCGUUACGCAGGUACGGGUUGGCAACUGGAAAAGGCACAGAACAAGAGUUGACAAAGCCUAAAAUUCAGACAAAUGACAUGUGUGGGGUUUGUUCUCGCAAGAUCACACUAGUGCGAUGAAUCGCGCCAAAUGCGUGAGGUCGGGCGCUGCUGCCAAACUGCAGCACUAGUGAGUCAAAAGGUCAUCUGAAGUGUACAGAAGUGUAACAUUUAUUUCACAGAAAAUGCAUCUGAGUUGAACUCAGGACCAAAAGACAUAAAGAUAACACCAGUCUCAUUAUCUGAAGCACCAGAUGUGAAGAGCCCCAGUCUCACGUCGGUCCAUAUGUUCACGCACACUCUGCAGCCUUUGAACAGACGCACACACCUGUGUGUUGAGGCCAGUAGUUCCACCGCUGCUCUGAAUCACCGCUGGCAAACCUGUAACUGACACUGAGAAGGAGCCCAACUGAUGGGGACUUUCACUGUUUAUUUUUUUAAUUUUUUUUUUUUUAAAGUCAGUGGUUGUGCCUUGCCUUUUGUGUGCUUGCUUGAAUUGCCCUGGGAUGUUAUCACGCCCACUGUGCAGGGUUGACAUUUACAAUGGCAGGAAGGACUAUCUCUAUCUUUCCCCUUAGUGCUUUGUGUGAUAAUCAUUUUCCCGUUGGCACAUUCAUGAUGACAGCGUGUAUUUUCCACUGGGGGCCUGUUCAUCACUGCCCGUCUCCUACGUCACGAUGUGAGUCCGCAGGCAAGCACUGGAGAUGGGCUUAAUGGGAGGCUAUGUUAAUCAUUAACUAAGCAUUAACCACACACACACACACACACACACACUAGACAUCUGAUACAAGCCAUCUGUCAUCUGGAUGCGAUGAUGCAGUAUUCAGUCCCCCUGCCACUUUAUUGUUUUAUUUUACUCCAAAGGGCCGAACAUUUGAAGUUAAACAGAGAUAAUGUGUUUCACUGCUUUGAUAAUAAACUGAUGAUCCCAAUCCCA